ACCUUUGAGGAGGGACCGUGUUGUAGCCAAUGAGGUUUAUAUGAGUGCCAUUAUUGCUAAUUGAAAACUCUUCCCAACAGCCCACAGUAACAACUUGCAACGUAGUAUUGGCAAUUUUUGACGGUCUCUAUGGCAGUGA
ensembl:snRNA U4 U4 spliceosomal RNA